rnacentral:rRNA from 1 species
AUUGAACGCUGGCGGCAGGCCUAACACAUGCAAGUCGAACGAGUGGCGGACGGGUGAGUAAUGUAUGGGAAACUGCCUGAUGGAGGGGGAUAACUACUGGAAACGGUAGCUAAUACCGCAUACUAUCGGAUGUACCCAUAUGGGAUUAGCUUGUUGGUGGGGUAAAGGCUCACCAAGGCGACGAUCCCUAGCUGGUCUGAGAGGAUGACCAGCCACACUGGAACUGAGACACGGUCCAGACUCCUACGUGAGGCAGCAUGGGGAAAUGUUGCACAAUGGGCGCAAGCCUGAUGCAGCCAUGCCGCGUGUAUGAAGAAGGCCUUGGGGUUGUAAAGUACUUUCAGCGGGGAGGCGUUACCCGCAGAAGAAGCCCCGGCUAACUCCGUGCCAGCAGCCGCGGUAAUAC